rnacentral:misc_RNA from 1 species
UCCGGUUUGUCACCGGCAGUCUCGCAUGAGUCCCCAACUUAAUGCUGGCAACACUUCACGGGGGUUGCGCUCGUUGCGGGACUUAACCCAACAUCUCACGACACGAGCUGACGACAGCCAUGCAGCAUCUGUGGUGCACCCUCGAAGGUCACACGUUUCCGUGCGCUUGCAGCACCAUGUCAAGUCCAGGUAAGGUUCUUCGCGUUGCAUCGAAUUAAAGAACAUGCUCCGCUGCUUGUGCGGGCCCCCGUCAAUUCUUUUGAGUUUUAGCCUUGCGGCCGUACUCCCCAGGCGGGAUACUUAACGCGUUAACUUCGGCACAGACAGAUUCGACUCCGCCCACACCCAGUAUCCAUCGUUUACGGCGUGGACUAC